GAAACAACAGGAGGAAAGCGAGCAGAGGGUGAGCAGUGCUUUCUCCAGAGACCUGACCCGACUGCCUCUGCACAUGGGGGCGGAGCAUCGACAGCACCAAGAAGAAGGAGAAGGAGAAGGAGGAGAAGGAGAAGAAAACAAAAGCGGUGGAAGUGGUUUCUGAGUAGUGAAGACUGCUUUAGCAUGUCAUCUAGUUGGGGGGAGAAAUGAAAGCCUUAUUGAGAAACCGUAGUCCCUUUUGUUG
rnacentral:lncRNA from 1 species